rnacentral:rRNA from 1 species
GACGAACGCUGGCGGCGUGCUUAACACAUGCAAGUCGAACGCAGUGGAGAACGGGUGAGUAACGCGUAAUCAACCUGCCCUUCAGAGGGGGACACCAGUUGGAAACGACUGCUAAUAACGCAUACUGAAGGAGGGGAUUGCGUCUGAUUAGCUAGUUGGAGGGGUAACGGCCCACCAAGGAGAUGAUCAGUAGCCGGUCUGAGAGGAUGAACGGCAGCAUUGGGACUGAGACACGGCCCAGACGCCUACGGGAGGCAGCAGUGGGGAAUCUUCCGCAAUGGACGAAAGUCUGACGGAGCAACGCCGCGUGAGUGAUGACGGCCUUCGGGUUGUAAAGCUCUGUUAAUCGGGACGCGGUACCGGAAUAGAAAGCCACGGCUAACUACGUGCCAGCAGCCGCGGUAAUAC